AGCUCAUUGUCCCUCCGCACUCGCCGUAGUCAACAGUACAAUGCGACACAAGCUAACUUAAGCGAACAUUGGGAAAAAGAAGACUCCAGGUGACUCAGUUUAAUUUCCAAGACAGCCAGUCAGUAUGGUCAACGUGCACAAAGGUGUUCUUGUUGAAUGCGACCCGGCCAUGAAACAGUUCCUCCUGUUCCUGGAUGAAACCAUGGCCCUGGGGAAGAAGUUUAUCUUAAAGGACUUGGACGACACACACGUGUUCAUCCUGUCAGAGGUGGUCCAGACCCUGCAGGAGAGAGUGGGAGAGCUCAUGGACCAGAACUCCUUUCCCGUCACACAGAAAUGAGAUUAUUUUCAAGAAUAAUCCCUUUUGUUUGGAGCUUCUAGAUGAGAAGUGUCUGCCAGUUUUAUGUUUUAAGAGCAAAUGUGUCAAGGCCCCAGGGCCCAGACGUGGCCCGCACAAACCUGGAUACAAUGUGCGUCAAUAAAGCACUUCAUCUUUCUCAGAAUCAGAAUACCUUUA